rnacentral:lncRNA from 1 species
GUACACAACUUGUGAUUAGUUUGUGUUGAUUGCUUUUAAAUUAAACACAUGAUAAUACUUAUUCAGCGAUGCAGUCAUACUGAUUUAACUGUAAACAGUGUGUAGUAUUUCAUUAGUACAGUUAGCACCACAAACAUUUUUUCUUUGUGUUGUAAACCUUCAACAUCUUUUUCCUACCUAUUAGUUAUGGUUGCUAUACCAUGCUGUAGAACACGAGAACUUAAUGCUAACUGUAUUUUUGUACAUGUUAACCAACCUUUGUGUAUCCUUUUUGUCACUACCCUCCCUCUGGAAACCACUGCCUCCUGCAUACUAGUGAGAACAUGUGGUGCCUUCCUGUGCCUGGCUUCCUUCACUUGUUAUAACAGGUCAUGCAUAUUGCUGUAAAGUGGACCAUUGUAUGCGCUAAUCUACAACAAGAAUCCGAAUAGAAGAAAACUAUUUGCUAUGUUCUUUAGGUCUUACUCCUCCUUUGUUCUCUCUGUCCUUCCCUCCCUCCCUUCCUCCACCCCUCCCCACGCUCUUUCUCUGUAGUUAUGAAAUAAAAGGUUUAGCGAUAAAUUUUCCAUAUAAAAUAGCCUACAUAUUAAAGAAUCAGCCAGGGCUUGCUUAGGUGUACCAUCUCUGAACACUGUCUUGGCUUGCAAUGGGCUUUUUGGUUUUAAAUCUGAGUAAGAAAUGAUCUAGUGUAUUGCUUGUUUUGUGACUGUUGAAGUUUCUGCCUCUGAUUUUUGGCUUUAUAAAUUUCUUCUAAAUAAAAGUUACUUUAAAAAUGAAUCUGAGUCUGUUAUAUUAAUAACUACUGAAUAUAAAAAUACAUAUAAUAUGUAUUCACUAUAGAAAAGUAAAAGGAAAUCUAACCUUGCCAUGUAAAGAACAUUUUUUUUUUUUUUUCCGAGACAGGGUUUCUCUGUAUAGCUCUGGCUGUCCUGGAACUCACUCUGUAGACCAGGCUGGCCUCGAACUCAGAAAUCCACCUGCCUCUGUCUCCCAAGUGCUGGGAUUAAAGGCGUGCGCCACCACUGCCUGGCCGUGGCACCAAUUUUUUUUUUAAGAUUUAUUUAUUUAUUUAAUGUAUGUGAGUACACUGUAGCUGUACAGAUGGUUGUGAGCCAUCACGUGGUCGCUGGGAAUUGACCCCAGACCUCUGCUCGUUCUGGCCCCGCACGCUCCAACUCUGCUCACAACAGCCCAAAGAUUUAGUAUAUAUAAGUACACUGUAGCUGUCUUCAGACACACCAGAAGAGGGCAUCAGAUCUCACUACGGAUGACUGUGAGCCACCAUGUGGUUGCUGGGAUUUGAACUCAGGACCUUUGGAAGAGCAGUCAGUGCUCUUAACCGCUGAGCCAUCUCACCAGCCUGUGGCACCAAUUUUUUUAAAAAAUAUUUAUUUAUUAUAUGUAAGUACACUGUAGCUGUCUUCAGACACUCCAGAAGAGGGCAUCAGAUCUCAUUAUGGAUGGUUGUGAGCCACCAUGUGGUUAUUGGGAUUUGAACUCGGGACCUUUGGAAGAGCAGACAGUGCUCUUGACCGCUCAGCCAUCUCUCCAGCCCCGUGACAGCAAUUAUAGUAGUGCUAAAGAGUCAACUUUGUCCUUCCAAGAAAGCAUUAUCUCUGGAUAGUUUAAAUACUAAAAUACAAGAAUAUUUUUGCAAAAAUCUAUAUAAUCCAUGUUCUCCCCCAAUGAAAUGUGUUCUAUCUUUUCGUUUUAGAUAAAGAGUGACUGGUCUCUCUCAGAGUCUCCUUUCAUAAAGGUUUUACGUAGAGAAUCUUCUUAAGUAUAGUAAUGUAACCUAACCUGUUUUAACCCUGUAGUAGUUUAUGGUUGACUAGAUGCUUGUUUCUUUGUAAGACAAGGACUCUUCUGUGUCGUUUUGUCUGUUUUGGAACUCCCUCUAGACCCGGCUGGCCUUGAGCUCAGACAUUCUCUUGCCUCUGUGUCUCAAGUGCUGGCAUUAAAGGUGUAUGUCACCACACCUGACUGGUUUUUUUUCUUUGUACAAAAUACAAACAAAUGCUGGGUAAAUAACUAGUAAGCUAAUGUAAUUAGUAUCUAAAGUAAUUCUUACUCAGGUCUAGUUAUGCCCCAAUUGCCUGUCUAUCCAUCUAUUCAUGCAUCCAUCCGUCUGCUAUUUUUCUUUCAUUUACUCAUUUAUUCAUUGGCAGGGUGUCUCUAGGUAGCCCCAGUUGUCCCAGAACUUACUAUGUAGCCCAGGCUGUUACAUCUUUUGAAGACAGGAACAUACUGUAAUAAAUGCACCCUUAGUUUUGCUUUUAGAAAUUUCAUGGCUAUGCACCUAGAUGAUAUGGAAGACUUUAUUGUAAUACACAAAAUACCACAAGCAGUUUAACAACAACCCAAAAAGAGGUGCAGUAAAAAUACAGCCUAAAGGAUUUUUUAAGUGUAUUGUAAAGCACUUAACCAUGAAUGGCAUUUGUGAGACUGGAGAUUAGUUGUUCUGUACCUAGUUAGUCAUUAGUAAUUUUGUGCAAAGGCCUAGGUAUUGCUGUACCUUACUGGAGUUUUUUGAAUAAAUGGUGUGCACUUAAACUAGGCUAAACUUAGGAAGAGAAUUUCUUCGAUAUGUGUUUACUGCAACUUUUUAAAAACUUUUGGGCGCUCUUAUCACUCUUAGCUUAAAACAAACAUAUUAAGCAGGGCAUUGUAACGAAUGCCUGUAAUCCCAGCACACAGGAGGCAGAGACAGGAGGAUUGAUGUAAAUUUGAAGCAAACUGGAUCUGUGUAGUGAGUUUAAGGCUAGUCAGGACUACCUAAUGGGACACUCCAAGCCCAAAGAAGCGACCCCUUCCAUUGAGUAUACAGUAUUUUAUACCUGUCCCACUCACCUACUGUCAAAUUUUAAGUAUUUUAGAGCGUUAUUGUUUAAAACACAUAAAAGCUGAACAUGGUAGCACAAUCUUGUCUUUGCAUCCUGUGGCAGCUACAGAAGGAUUAGAAGUUCAAGGUCAACCUGAGCUGUAGUGGAAUCCAAGACCAAUGUGGGCUAUAUGAGAUGCUGUCUCAGUAAAUUCAGACAAAUGUAUUCUAAUCUAAAGCAGUGGUUCUCAACCUUCCUAAUGCUGUGGUUGUUUAACGUAGUUCCUCAUGUAGUGACCUCAACCAUAAAAUUAUUUUUAUUAUUUUUUGUUUUUGUGUUAUUAUCCUUUUUUUUUUUUACCUUCUUGUUUGUUUGUUUGUUUUGUUUUGUUACUAAAUGCACAGGUUGGGAGCCACUAGUUGCACAGGUUCACAGUAGUGUCACUGGCAUCCACCUCUACCUUUUGUUCCACUUGAACGUCCAGGAGCUGUUGUCUUGUAAUGACAAAGCUGCCUUCUGGAUCUUUGGAUCUGCUAGAGGCCCUGAGAAAGAUAGAAAGUUGAUAAGCAGAAAAUACAAUAAGGUCGAUUACUCAAUUAGCAAAAUAUCUUUUGGCAUUAGGAUCACAUCAGAUAUGCUUAUUUUAUAAGACAUAAAAAUGUAAAAUUACAUCAGUUUUACACACACACUUAGAAAAGACUGAAAAAUGAAGGUGUUUGGGUAUAGCCCCUGGGGAAAUGCUAGAGAGCUGAGGGCAGAGGGAACAGCAGCUGGAGUUGAGGAAGCAUGGCUGCUACAGAAUGAGGUUUGUCUUUGUCCUCACCUUGUUGGGGAUAUGAUCAGGUCUGUGCAGGGCUGGGCUUGCUGGCACCUGCCUGCAACUCCAGCAUACUCGGAGGCAAGAAGAUUGGCGUUUUGAGGCUGGCUAGGGUGAUCUCUUGUCUC